rfam:Chlorocebus sabaeus isolate 1994-021 chromosome 6, whole genome shotgun sequence.
GCCAGGCAUGUUGGCGAGCACCUGUAGUCCCAGCUACUCAGGAGGCUGAGGCAGGAGAAUUGCGUGAACCCGGGAGGCAGAGGUUGCAGUGAGCUGAGAUCGUGCCACUGCACUCCAGCCUGGGCAACCGAGUGAGACUCUUUCUCANNNNNNNNNNUGAGAAAGAGUCUCACUCGGUUGCCCAGGCUGGAGUGCAGUGGCACGAUCUCAGCUCACUGCAACCUCUGCCUCCCGGGUUCACGCAAUUCUCCUGCCUCAG